AAGCACUCCGCCUGAGGAGUACGACCGCAAGGUUGGAACUCAAAGGAAUUGACGGGGGCCUGCACAAGCGGUGGAGUAUGUGGUUUAAUUCGACAACGCGAAGAACCUUACCAGAACUUGACAUAUUAGGAAGUUUCUUGAGAAAGAAAUGUGCCUUUUGGAACCUAAAUACAGGUGGUGCAUGGCUGUCGUCAGCUCGUGUCGUGAGAUGUUGGGUUAAGUCCCAUAACGAGCGCAACCCUUGUCUUUAGUUACGUUUUUCGAUUCUCUAAAGAGACUGCCGAUGAUAAAUCGGAGGAAGGUGAGGACGACGUCAAGUCAGCAUGCCCCUUA
rnacentral:rRNA from 1 species